rnacentral:piRNA from 1 species
AUUCUGACGAGAGGCAUAGGCCACAGACAGU